rnacentral:misc_RNA from 1 species
GUUUAUGAUUAACAAUUUUCUUGUUAGGUUCAGUCAGAAUAGUUAAAAUGUUGCCCAGUCCGUUAGGAAAGAGCACCGGGCAGGCCAAGAUUCUCCCGAGGGAAAAAAUAGCCAUGCCCAGGGCGGAUGAGCCGAAGCCCACCCAUAAAAACAGUGCACAAGAUAAAAAGAAGAGAAAGCUCCCCAAAGAGAACCCCCCCGCAUUUUUAAUGAUCCUUCCGCAGGUUCACCUACGGAAA